rnacentral:tRNA from 1 species
GGUCUACGCAAUGGUCUAACGGUCAUGACAUUGGACUUUGAAUCCAGUAGCCCGAGUUCGACUCUCGGUAAGACCU